rfam:Fibrobacter sp. TWOS genome assembly, contig: Ga0136287_117
CGGAAUAUAGCUCAGCCUGGUAGAGCGCUUGCUUCGGGAGCAAGAGGUCGUGGGUCCGAAUCCCGCUAUUCCGA